GUACAGUAGAGGUGGGCGGAAUUCGUGGUGUAGCGGUGAAAUGCUUAGAUAUCACGAAGAACUCCGAUUGCGAAGGCAGCUCACUGGACUGCAACUGACACUGAUGCUCGAAAGUGUGGGUAUCAAACAGGAUUAGAUACCCUGGUAGUCCACACAGUAAACGAUGAAUACUCGCUGUUUGCGAUAUACAGUAAGCGGCCAAGCGAAAGCAUUAAGUAUUCCACCUGGGGAGUACGCCGGCAACGGUGAAACUCAAAGGAAUUGACGGGGGCCCGCACAAGCGGAGGAACAUGUGGUUUAAUUCGAUGAUACGCGAGGAACCUUACCCGGGCUUAAAUUGCAUUUGAAUAUAUUGGAAACAGUAUAGCCGUAAGGCAAAUGUGAAGGUGCUGCAUGGUUGUCGUCAGCUCGUGCCGUGAGGUGUCGGCUUAAGUGCCAUAACGAGCGCAACCCUUAUCUUCAGUUACUAACAGGUCAUGCUGAGGACUCUGGAGAGACUGCCGUCGUAAGAUGUGAGGAAGGUGGGGAUGACGUCAAAUCAGCACGGCCCUUACGUCCGGGGCUACACACGUGUUACAAUGGGGGGUACAGAAGGCCGCUACAUGGUGACAGGAUGCUAAUCCCAAAAGCCUCUCUCAGUUCGGAUCGAAGUCUGCAACCCGACUUCGUGAAGCUGGAUUCGCUAGUAAUCGCGCAUCAGCCAUGGCGCGGUGAAUACGUUCCCGGGCCUUGUACACACCGCCCGUCAAGCCAUGAAAGCCGGGGGUACCUGAAGUACGUAACCGCAAGGAGCGUCCUAGGGUAAAACUGGUA
rnacentral:rRNA from 1 species